rnacentral:rRNA from 1 species
GCAGAUAUACUUAUUUAACAGGAGAGCACUUCUGCGUGGCACAAGCGAAUAAUUAAAACUUUUAACAACGGAUCUCUUGGUUCUGGCAUCGAUGAAGAACGCAGCGAAAUGCGAUAAGUAAUGUGAAUUGCAGAAUUCAGUGAAUCAUCGAAUCUUUGAACGCACAUUGCGCUCGCCAGCAUUCUGGCGAGCAUGCCUGUUCGAGCGUCAUUUCAACCCUCAAGCACCGCUUGGUUUUGGGGCCCCACGGCACACGUGGGCCCUUAAAGGUAGUGGCGGACCCUCCCGGAGCCUCCUUUGCGUAGUAACUAACGUCUCGCACUGGGAUUCGGAGGGACUCUUGCCGUAAAACCCCCAAAUUUUUUACAGGUUGACCUCGGAUCAGGUAGGAAUACCCGCUGAACUUAAGC